UACGGGGGGGGCAAGCGUUGUUCGGAAUUACUGGGCGUAAAGGGCUCGUAGGCGGCCAACUAAGUCGGAUGUGAAAUCCCCAGGCUUAACUUGGGAACUGCAUCCGAUACUGGAUGGCUUGAAUCCGGGAGAGGGAUGCGGAAUUCCAGGUGUAGCGGUGAAAUGCGCAGAUAUCAGGAGGAACACCGGUGGCGAAGGCGGGUCUCUGGGCCGAUACUGACGCUGAGGAGCGAAAGCGUGGGGAGCGAACAGG
rnacentral:rRNA from 1 species